rnacentral:rRNA from 1 species
UACGUAGGUGGCAAGCGUUGUCCGGAUUUAUUGGGUUUAAAGGGUGCGUAGGCGGUUUUCUAAGUUUGGUGUGAAAUCUCCCGGCUUAACUGGGAGGGUGCGCCGAAGACUGGAAGGCUUGAGUAUGGGAGAGGUAAGCGGAAUUCCUGGUGUAGCGGUGAAAUGCGUAGAUAUCAGGAGGAACACCUGCGGUGUAGACGGCUUACUGGACCAUAACUGACGCUGAGGCACGAAAGCGUGGGUAGCAAACAGG